UCCCAACCCUUCCUCUCAAAAUAGCACUGCCAGCUGGGGGGAAUUAAGUAUUCGACAUUCGGGCUUUGAGAGACGUUUCAUAUUCAAAUCAUAGCAACAAAAUAACCAUGCACAGCAGAGAAGCCCCACUCUCAGGCUGCAGGGAAGGGACCCGGGGUGCUCCUCUGACCAAACUCACUCUUUAAGCCAUGCUUGGCUAAGAUACCCUGAACAAAUCCAUAGCUACCGCUCUUCCUGGCCUACUGGACAGUCAGAGAGCCAGCUAUUGGUCAGAGCAGGUUGGGUAGCUCGGUGUAGCUGGUGGGGUUGAUUCAGCACAUUUCUCAGGGGUCUGUGUGCAGCCUCGUGCAUUCAGAUUCAGGCCGGAUGGAGCUCCCUGUCUUUGUCAGGGUGCGCACAUGGGAUGUCUUGAGUGACAUCUUCACCUCUCAGAUGGUCACAGCUGCUCAGAGACCUAUCUGUGGUCUGAGCACCAUCUCAAGAGCUGCAGUGAUGCCCCUGGCUGAAGUCUGAAAAGGCUCUUUGAAAGCUAAGCCUCUUUUCCUUCCAAUUUGCAGCCGCUGUAAGCAGAAGCCAGACCCUUCACUAACCCUUGUUGGGUUGACCGGCAUCCUCACCCUAACCACACAGCAGGGCUGAGAAUCCUCAUAAGCUGAGAAACAUAAGCAGAAAAGGUGCAGCACCGUCUAGCCUGGGAGUCCUCAAUGGGAACGGCGAUGGAGACCCCAGAAGGAGAGUUUUGAAGAUGACAGGGGCCUCGGUCACGGUGCAGCCAUGAGAAUGAGAAGGCCAAGCUUCUGCAGCCUCUGUAUGAAGGAGAUCAGUGGCAACCUGACCAGCAGCCUGGGAAGUUCCAGAGGAUGAGAGCCUCUUUCCUGAAUGCUAUCGAGCUUCCUUUGUGUUAGACACUCAUCGUUCUGUGAUCUACUCAUUAUUGAAGCCUCGGCCAACUGAUGCACAUUCUAUAAUCCUAGCAGGUAGUGACACUCAGGGCAUACCUUAUGAGGUGGCAACAGGAACCACCAGCCAAGGCCUCUCUCUUCCAGUGGAGUAUGGAUGUCCUAACAUUAAUCACACUCUUGCCUGAGUAAGCUGAGCUUGGCCAUCAGAUGUCUCUCCGCACAGAUCCUGUCUAGUCACCAGUGUCACUGUUAAAAGGUGGGGUCUUCAGGAGACAAGGGCACACACACUCCACCUUCUAUAUCAGAUUAAGAGGCUAGGGCCUUUGCUGUGGUUUAGGUUGGAAGUGGCCACCUGAGUUCAUGCUUUUGAAUACACAGACUCCAGCUUGUGGCACUGAUAACUAAUACAGCAUCUUAGGCCCCCUUUUUCCAUCUGUCCCUUCUGCCAUGAAAGGACAUAGUGUUCACCCUUUUCAGAGGCCACAGCAACCAGGCACCAUUUUAGAAGCAGCAAGCAAACACAGACAUGGAUUGGUUGGUUGCUCUCAGUCAUCCUAGACUCCAGAACCAAAUGACUCACUCUAAGGUCAUCUGGUAGGAUCAGGGGAACAAACUAAGACGACUGGGAGUUCCACCUCAGCCUUUGCCUGCAGUGACUCAGCAGUACCCACUCCGGAGAGCAAAAAAGAAGGCUCUUGAUCUCUCUGUUACAGGUGGGUAAGUCAAGGCACAGAGAGGAAAGACCACAGACUACCACAGAUGGAGGUGGGACUCCAAGGCAGGCCUGCUGGGGUCAGAGCUCUUGCAGAGAGAGGGCAGGGAGGCAGACAGCCAAGGAAGCUAUCGGGUUUCUGGAGGGGUAACAGACAACUCUUGGGGCUUCUGUUUCUCCUUCUGGCCUGGAAUCCAGACAAGCCAGGGAACAGCCUGACCGGACCUCCUGGCCUCCUGGCCGGGCCAGCUUUUAGAGUGGUCUUGUUUCUCUGCAGGAGUCUAGGUGGCUUUGAAACUUGAAACAGAGUGUGCCUGGAUUGCAGAUGGCUCCUGCCCAGGAGCCUGCCUCCUUCAUUUCCAUAGGGCUAACUACUGCCUCUUGAUAGGGUGCUGUGUCCCCUGGGAGUACAGGGUGCUGAGCCAGGACUACAAAAGCCUGUGCUACCUGCCAUUUCUGCAAACUGAGCCAAGCCACCAGCUCCUCAUUCCACCUCCUCUGGGUGCCUGACCCUCACCUGGGUUGAGCCACACUGCGGUGCUUGGGCUGGGAGCCAAGGCUAGGGAUGGGGUGGUCAUGGGGUGCAGACCACAAGGAAGGGAAGGGCAAGGGCAGGCUUGCUGAAUCCUGUCGUCAGAGACCCAUGGCCACCACAUGGCCCCAAGACGGAAAGGAAACAGGAGGCCUCUCAAAAUAGACCAGCGUGUGGCUCGGCUGCAUUUCCCAGCUUCCACCAUCUGGCCAAGCCUGGGCUGGAAGAGAGAGGCAGGGGAGGGGAAAGGCUGUGUAUGGAUAGGCUCCUGACUUCUGUGGAGCAGAGUCAAGUAGGCCGCCCACCAUUCACUCAGCACCUCUUCCCUUUGACUCCAGCGUCGGUGAGAGGCAAUGUCAUGGACGGAUAAGUUAACUGAGGCUCAGAGAGGUCAAGAGGCUUGUCCAAAGCUACACAGCUGGGAGUUGACAGAACCAAGUUAGCACCACAGCACCUAUGGCUACCGGCCACUGUUGAUCUGAUGCCUUUGGGCUGCCUCUGACCUUAGAUCUGAUCCCUGGAAAAACCAGAGCCUGUGACUCGUCUACGGUCCUGUCACAGCUGCCUGUGAUAGUCACAGCAGCAGAGAGUUUGGAGGAAGAGUGGCUUGACCCCAGACAACCUCACUAAGGUUCCCUUUGUGUGUCAGAGUCCUGAUACAGACCCUGCAAACCCCACAUGUCCCUCUUUCACACCAAAGCUGGUCCCAGCCAAACACCCACCAUAAUGAUCUAUCCACCAUUGCCCAGGCCUACCGGGGCCUUAACCUUCCAAGUUGCCCUAAAGGGAUGUGGCCAGGAAAGUAUUCGCCAUCCCGCCCCACCCCCACCUCCCCAAGAUCCUGAGGUCCAGGGUGCUGAAGACUGCAUGUACAGAGAGACAGCCAGCUAAGACACCAAUCUGUCCUUCAUGCAGUCACUCAACAACCAUAUACAGGGUGAUUGCUGUUCCUGAAACCAGAGCUAGGCCAGCCACAUGGGAAUUGUCCCUGUUCCCAUUGACCACGACCUCAGGCUUCCUUCAUGUGACAAUUAUGGUGAUUCCAUUUCCACUGGCUCUCCUUGAUUCCAGUGCUGGGGCCUUGGGGUGAGGCAUAAGGUAGGUUCCCAGGGCUACACCUACCACGAUGCUCACCCCAGAACAGUACCAUUGUCCAGGUCAGGCUAGUGUCCCCAGGAUAUACUGAUAGUCUGGGUACCAGCUAUCUGGAGGCUUUCUGAAAGGGAGCAGUGGCCUUAUGUCCCACAGGGGCCCAGAUCAGAGGCAGGGAAGGAAACAACGGGAAGGAGAGGAGAUAAGAGAAAGGUAAGUGGAGAGAAGAGACAGAGGACAAAGAGAAGCAAAGGAAAGAGGCACAGGAAAGGAAAGCAGGGAGAGGCGGAAACUAAGCGCAUGUUCUCCACCCAGGCCCAGGCCCACAUGAGAGCCGGUCUUGGUAGCCUGUCUUCUCCACCCAGCAGCCAGAUAGGACAGUGCAAGAAGUGGUACCCAGAGCCUGCAGGGCCCCAAACAUAAGUGCUGCCCUUAAAACCAGGCCAACCUGGGAGAGCUUUGGGAGGGAGGCUGUGACUUUGCCUCUGUGUGUUUGGCUUGUGCAGCUUCUUCAUGAGUGUUCCUGGCCACUCAGGAUUGGUCCAGACCACGGUGGAGUGCUCCAGACCAUGGUGGAGUGCUCCAGACCAUGGUGGAGUGCUCCAGACCAUGGUGGAGUGCUCCAGACCAUGGUGGAGUGCUCCAGACCAUGGUGGAAUGCUCCAGACCACGGUGGAGUGUUCCAGACCACAGUGGAGUGCUCCAGACUGCAGUGGAGUGCUCGAGGACUCACAAGAAGCUAGGAAGGGCAGCAGGGUUCAUAGGCGGAAGGAAGCUUCCACAGAGCUGCAGAGACCAGUCUGCACUUGAUCCAAAGGGAACAAAGAAAAAGUGGAAGGAGCCUGGAAAUCAGGGCCUCAGCACUGAACCUAAGCUAACUGGAAUCUGUUUCAGAGGGAGUGUAUGGGACACCUGGCUUGCUGUAGAAGCCUGUGCAUUGUGGAGCAAGGCCACCUUCUGUGCCUUCCAUGGGACCUGAUUAUCUCCUCUAUAAGCUGGGGAUAAGAAAAAUGCACAAUCCUGCAGGGUGAGGGUUAGAUGAGGUUAGAUGCAGAAGGGGCUCAGCAGACAACACACUAUAAAUUGUUUGCCAAGCAGGGCAUUCAGAAGGCAGAGGCAGGAGGAUGUCUGUGAGUUCAAGGCCAGCCUAGUAGUCUACAUAUCGAGUUCCAGGAUAUGUAGAGAGACCAAGACUAUGUAGAGAGAUACUGUCUCAAAACAACUACUACCACCACAACAAACCCACCCAAAAAACAAAACAAUAAUAAAAAAAUUGCUUGUUAUUA